rnacentral:lncRNA from 1 species
AGUUACUGAGCUACUUUAAUUUUGUUACUGAUUGAUUAUGCUGGUGGCCUGGUGCUGCAUUAACAUUCGAAAAAACUUCAAUAUGUUUUAUUGUCGUCUGCACGUCUGUCACGCGGCUGUAAUUCGGUGUUGGUGUGUAAUGGUGUUGGACUGAUUAGGAGGACCAAUAAAUAUAGAAGGCAUCACCUGUUUACAUCACUAUGUACACACAAAUUUCAAAGCAGGGCAAUGAACCUGCCCAACUCGUCAAGGACUGCUGUUCAUAUUUCAGUUUUAUUCAAUCCCAAUCCCAGGUCAAAUUAUUUCACUACAUUUAUCGUCAUCACCCUUUCAUUAUCAUUACCUUACUGCGGAGCUAAAACUAUAUUUUUGUAUUUCUGAACAUCAUCUCAGAUUUACCCUUUCUAAACGAUCAACAGCGAGGCAAUGAUACCAGGCUCAGCUGAUCAGGCUCGGUUCCAUCUUUUGAGCUUAGUCGAUCGUUUUAUCUGUGAUCGGCAGGAAAUGCUUUUGUAGAAGAUUUAUUUGCACUUGACUUCAUCCCCUAAUCUGUUUUCUAAUAAGAUGACGUGGAAUCGAGUAAUCCUUGAGCGAAGAUCUUGUAGUUUGGCAGCCAUCGUCGCUUCCGCCUCAAUUAUAAGAAAUCCUUGCCGAUUUCUUUGGAGAAAAACCGAAGUUUGAGGUUCUGUCUUAUUAGUCCUAUUCAUGCAACCCUGCCCACUCCUCUACAAUUACUGCUAAAUUAUUCAAAAUGGUGGCCGCCUGUCGCGUCGUUACCUGUAGCUUUAGUGAUGUUCUCGGGUCUGUGGUCACAUUCUAGGCUUUUUGAUAUAUUUUCAGAUAUCUGCAGCUGACUGUUUUCCCGGAGUGCUCUUUGUCAAUAGAGAUGAAAUAUGGUUCAGUCCAAUGAAUGUGUGGUUCUAUCCAUGAAAAUGAAUCCAUUCCAUGAAUGUCUGAUGAUAAAGAGAUAUCCAUCAUGGUCAGAAUGUUCCUACCUCAGAAGUGGAGAAGUGCUGGGAUUUGGUGCAAACCGGAAUACUCCACAAUCGAGAUUUCUUUCAGGUUCUGUCAGCCAGGUUAAUUUGAAGCUGUUUCCAUCCAAAUCAGAACAUUUCGACUUGCUGCAUGCCAAGUGCCUAAAUUGGGAAGCUUCUUGAACAUUUACAACAAUAAGUUGAUGUUGCUUUAUAUCUAAUUUGUUUCAUAGGUUCUUUCCGCUGUUGGUUGAUGUUUGAAGUUAAAGCUAAAAUUGCUAACGGUGUUACAGUACCGUUGUGUACCGAGUUGCAGAUAUAUUAAUCUAAUGUGCUGAUGCUGUUGCCCAUCGUCUCCCCUGGUUUAAGGAGUACUUGAACAAAAUCGAAUUUACGCCAGUGGUUAUUUUCCCAUUGUUUUUAUUUCUAGUAUACUCUUUAAGUGUGUUCUUUAUUUGUUACUAUGUAUGUGGUUUGAGUUUAGAAAGCUGUUAGUUUUGUUUUGUGUUUUGUUGCUUUUUUUCGCGUCUUCUCGCCAGAAUUUGCUUGGUCUUAGGUCUAAUUGGAAUGGAAAGUGAUUGUGACAUGCUGAUUUGACAGAGGGGCCGUUUACAUAUGCCAUCACAGGGAGGGGAGGUGUCUAGAUGUGCUGUCAGUCAGUAACAGAAUUCUUAAUGGUAAAAACAUUUUUAAAAACAUCAUACAGAGAGUGUACAUACAUAAUAUCACGGUUUGAUGGUGGGAAGGGGGUUUAAACAUCUGGGCCGACUUGUAAUUAGAGGGUAUAUUUAUCACCACUUAACUAAAUAGGUUGGUAAUUUUUCUAAGAUUUCUGUAAUAUUAAUUGUAUUAUUAUCUGUAAAUUUAAUCAAUCUCAGGUUGUCGUAAAUUAGUACUCAAAUGGUGGUCACCACAACCUCUUGAAUGGUGGCAUUGUCUUCCAAUUGUCCAAAAAUAGAUAACAGCAAAGAAUUGGAUCUGGGGAAGGCAGCAAUAUCUUGGAGAUGUACUACAAUGUGACAGCAAAAAGUUAACCUGAAAUGAGAUACAUAUAAAAUGCAACAGUAGUUUGUUUAAAUGCUGGACCCUUGAAAAUAGAAACUAUUUACCUUUGGAAGACAAAGCUUUCAUUACUGGAUUGUACCAUUUGAUCUCUGUUGUCACAAGCACCAAUGUCACAACAGAAAACAUUUAGUCCAGAAGUAGAAUCAUUAAUUGCUGUGUUUUUUAUAAACGGUUAAACAAACCUCAAUAUCCGAAUCUGAAUUUAUCUUGUUUGAUUUUUUGAAGUAACUUGUGAAUUGUGAUGUGUACUGUGUAAUUUAGUAGCAGACGAAGUUUCCCAACCAGAUUCUAUUUAGUAGGGCAUUUAGCCCAGACGAAGCUUGUUUACUUCCGGUUUCUAAAUAGUUCUCUAAUUGUAAUUAUCUAUCUGACAACGAAAAGAAUCUGAUUUUUGUGAUCCUCAUUCCCCAACAUGUUUAAGGAAGUAUUGGUUUUGUGGGAAGCUUUCCAUUGAAUGGCUGAUAGAACCGAACCAAUUGAUUCUUCAAAUUCGUAUACAGUGCAAAAACUCAUUACUAGAUGUCGCAUUGUCGCCAUUGUUGUUCCUGCAUCAUGAAACAUGGCAAAAUAAAUUGUUGCUAAUUUACACGUAUUUUUCUGUAAUUUCAAAUACCGAAUUUAACUUCGUGUUAUAUAUGCAUACUGUCAGUCACUCCAAAAAGUUUACUUAGUCACCUUCCAUCCAUUAGCUCCUUGUGCUGUCAAAAGCCUAAAACUCAUAUUUGAAGCAUAUGGUGGAAUUAGACAAUGUGCAGAGAUAAGGUAUUCUUGCUCGUGAACCAUAGGAUAUUUUCUGAAUCUUGCAAUUUUGGUUGUGUAACCUGUGGCAGCACGUUUGUUGUUAUGGCUGUUUCUACACUCGUUUAGAAGGCAACCCAGCUGUGAGAUAGAGUUUCAGCUUCAGUGACAUGAAGAGUUUGAAGUGAAUACCUGCAAUGUGCGUGUACUGAUCUGUGUGAAAAAAGUCAGCCUUACUGAAUUUGUCAGCCCCAAUGAUGAAAGAAAUUGAUUUCAACCAGAGGAGUAAUGCUGUUGGUACAUCAUUGUGAAUUCCAUUUUUACGGUUUUUUCAUCAUGAACAGUGUGCUCGUAGAAAAGAUGACGCAGGAUAUCUGUAGCUUGUUCUGGCCUUCGUUAAAUAACGAUUAAAUGUAGGAGGGACCUCGGGAGGGACUUCCACCAACGUUCUUCUCCAUCCUUUUCUUCCCAACGUCCGCUCAUCUAGCUUCACUGCUUCGUACUUCCUUACAUCAUUGACGAGUUUGAUCACUUCAGUGUUCGCUUCCUCCCGCUGUGACACACUUGUCAUCAUUCACCACGGGAUUAUGCCCAGCUAAUGCAGAAGAGACGUCGAGAAGAUGGACACCAAAACGUCGCCGGUAUCUCCAAUUGUC